AUUGAACGCUGGCGGCAGGCCUAACACAUGCAAGUCGAGCGGUAGAGAGGUGCUUGCAUCUCUUGAGAGCGGCGGACGGGUGAGUAAUGCCUAGGAAUCUGCCUAGUGGUGGGGGAUAACGUUCGGAAACGGACGCUAAUACCGCAUACGUCCUACGGGAGAAAGCGGGGGAUCUUCGGACCUCGCGCCAUUAGAUGAGCCUAGGUCGGAUUAGCUAGUUGGUGAGGUAAUGGCUCACCAAGGCGACGAUCCGUAACUGGUCUGAGAGGAUGAUCAGUCACACUGGAACUGAGACACGGUCCAGACUCCUACGGAGGCAGCAGUGGGGAAUAUUGGACAAUGGGCGAAAGCCUGAUCCAGCCAUGCCGCGUGUGUGAAGAAGGUCUUCGGAUUGUAAAGCACUUUAAGUUGGGAGGAAGGGUAGGUAACCUAAUACGUUAGCUACUUUGACGUUACCGACAGAAUAAGCACCGGCUAACUUCGUGCCAGCAGCCGCGGUAAU
rnacentral:rRNA from 1 species